GCAGCGGGCAUGAUGGAGUACUGACCGUGGGCACCUGGCAGGUGAGAGACGGCAGCGCCCUCCUAUUGGGUGGGCAUUCCAUAACCUGGCACGAAGCACCUACUGGAUGCCAGGCUUGGGCUUGGCACUGGCACCAUCCAGAAACAAACACAGGUUGGGAAACUGAGGCACAGGAGGUUAGGAAACUUGAAUAAAGUCACACAGCUAGUAUGUGGCAAGGCUGAGUCAAUCACAGGGCCCCUUCACUUAACCGUCAGGCUACAUGACCUUGAACCAUGAACCUUGGCAGGCGUUGGGCAGGAGAUGGAGCUGAGGCCUACCCCAGGCCAGGCCUGGACGUGACAUGCCCACGUGGCGUUGAGGAAAAACCAGUGUUUCCCACCGACUGGAACACAAGGUUGGUCAAGGGCCGUCUCCCAGGGUGUGGCGGAGGUCAGCAAAUCAGGUGGGGUCUUUGUGGCCAGGCUUGAGAACUUGAACUUGUCUCGCCAUGGGCAACUGCAAGCUGGUGGCACUGGGGCAGAGAAUGUGGGGAGGCCUGGUCCAGUGGUGGUCAUGGGCAUGGAGAGAGGCGGGCGCGUUCUAGAGGCGCUCUGGGGAGGCAGCAUUCUGAAGACUGUGCGUUGGACCCAGGGCAGGAGGCGAAGGCAGGAGAAUCCAGGCGACCCUGGGGCUUUUCUGCUGGGGCACUGUUCCCCCUGUGGCAGGGCCAUCCACAGAGGGGCUGGCGGAAGUGGGAGGACGAGUGCAUUCCACAGAGAUGGGAUUUGAACCUGGGCAUUCUGGCACGGGCCACGCUCUGGACCACUGGGCCCCAGAUCCACAGCUUCUCACCUGCAGCCGCUGAGGAUGUGGAGGCAGACC
rnacentral:lncRNA from 10 species